GCGCCGUAUACCACGUCGGGGGGGAUGGCACGCGUCCUCCACGCGCGUCCUCGUUACAGAUGGAUUUAGAAGAAGUUCUUCAAAAGGUUUUUCUGCAUCCAAAAGGUGUGAUGAUGUGGUCUCAAAGGACCAUUAAAAUAUUCCAUAGCAGAUGCAGAGAAGACAUUGUAUACCUUGAUGCCACAGGGAGCAUCAUCCCAAAAGGAAAAGUUGUACCUUUUUAUGUCUAUGAGAUGGUGUUGAGAAAUCCUUAUAAAGGAUCCUCCCGUCUUCCAGUUGCCACAUUUGUGACCUGUGACCACACCACUGCUUCAAUUUCAUACUUUCUCGGAGCAUUUCAAACAGACCACAUUAAAAUGUAUGGGAAAAAUAAAUCCAAUUAUGAUCAUUUGUGAUGGCUCAAUUGUAAUAAUGCAAUCAAUAGCACAAAGACAAAUCUGGACAACCUCCUGAGCAAAUAUUUUGACAUAGUGACUGGACAAGGGACCACUGCCCACUUUGAGAUGCCAAUUCUUCAUGGAUGUCUCAGCCAUGUGAUGAAGAAUGCAAAAGAUUUAUACAAAAAACAGUUAGUAGUUUACAUUGUCUUUAAAUUGUUCUACCAUUGUAUAUUUGAAGUGUACAGAGAUGUCACUGUAUAAGAAAAGUGUUCACAAUAGCUGUUUUUACCCACAGUGCCCCAAAACAUUAUCGCUUUGCUAUGCAUGUGUUUGGCUUGAUGACCAAUGCUAGCACACUGCCUGAACUGGAGGAAGUUAUCCUGAGUGCUACAGUGGUGUUCUCCAGCCCUCAGAGUGAUGGAAAUGUUGAAAAAUACUUCAACAAUCUCCAAACAAUGCUGACUAGAGUUGGGGAUUCAGCGGAUGUACACAUUGUGCCUAAGGACUUUCAGGUAGUUUCAGAGAUAUUCAUCCCUUCACUGGCAAGAUAUUUCUUGCCACAGUCUGCCCUAUGGACCAGCCUAAUGCUGGGUGACCUUGGAAGGCAUGGGACAGAUUCUUCGUAUAAGAAAUAUUCAAAGAUGUUCACUGAAGUCAGCCAAAAAAAAAUCACAGGGAAUAAUGGAGAAAAGCCAGUGGGACCUCAAGCGCAUUCCAAAGAUUUAUUAUUCCAAAGACGCAAAAUCACUAGACUUGAUGAUUUUGUGGAAGUUUAUCAAAAGAGCCACAAUUCACUGCUGAGGGAAUUCAGUGACACUGUACGGACAAGGAAAACCAAGGCACAUCGAGUGGAGGUUGAAAAGUGGAAAGAAAGGCAACAAAAAAAGAGGGCUGUCUAUGCGUCUCCUAUUGCAAAGCCACUCAUUUUCAAAAAGAAAGUAUCAAAGAGCACUCAGGAAAAGUCCAUCCUUACAUCUCCAUGCACAAUUGAUGAGCUACUUUUGAGACAUGAGGAGGGAGAAGAAAUUUGUACUGGCUCUUCCAAGGUUUGUUUGGUGUAAACCACAAAUAAUGAUAUUGCAGGCAUUUCAGGAAAUAUACUUCAGCUGCGCUGUAUGUUGUACUAAUAACAUAUAGUUAUUAGUACAACAUUUCAUUUAAAUAAUUUCUUAACAUAUCGUUGUAGUGUUUUCACAAUGCUCAGAUUCUAUAAAGCCACAGUUUGCUCCAUUACAGGAGGACUACAGUAGCCUUGUUCCUAUUUCCAGCAUAUACCAAAUAUAUGUUAUGUUAUGUCAGGGAAAGGUUGUGGCUUUGUGGUCACCAAUAAAAGCAAACAAUUAGA